rnacentral:rRNA from 1 species
GACGAACGCUGGCGGCGCGCCUAACACAUGCAAGUCGAGCGAUGAAAUUUUAACCGAUCUCUUCGGAGAGAAGAUAAAAUGGAUUAGCGGCGGACGGGUGAGUAACACGUGAGAAACCUGCCUUUCACAAGGGGAUAGCCUCGGGAAACCGGGAUUAAUACCCUAUGACACAUUUCCUUCGCGUGGAAGAAAUGUUAAAACUCCGGUGGUGAAAGAUGGUCUCGCGCCUGAUUAGCUAGUUGGUGGGGUAACGGCCCACCAAGGCCAUGAUCAGUAACCGGCCUGAGAGGGUGAACGGUCACAUUGGAACUGAGACACGGUCCAAACUCCUACGGGAGGCAGCAGUGGGGAAUAUUGCACAAGGGAGGAAACUCUGAUGCAGCGACGCCGCGUGAGCGAUGAAGGCUUUCGAGUCGUAAAGCUCUGUCCUAUGGGAAGAUAAUGACGGUACCAUAGGAGGAAGCCCCGGCUAACUACGUG